rnacentral:rRNA from 1 species
CCAUGCAGUCGAGCGCGAAAGUUUUCGGAUGAGUAGAGCGGCGAACGGGUGAGUAACGCGUGGGAAUCUGCCUGGUAAUGGGGGACAACAUCUCGAAAGGGAUGCUAAUACCGCAUACGCCCUAAGGGGGAAAGUGGGGGAUCUUCGGACCUCACGUUAUCAGAGGAGCCCGCGUCGGAUUAGCUAGUAGGUAGGGUAAAGGCCUACCUAGGCGACGAUCCGUAACUGGUCUGAGAGGAUGAUCAGUCACACUGGAACUGAGACACGGUCCAGACUCCUACGGGAGGCAGCAGUGGGGAAUAUUGGACAAUGGGGGCAACCCUGAUCCAGCCAUGCCGCGUGUGUGAAGAAGGCCUUCGGGUUGUAAAGCACUUUAAGUUGGGAGGAAGGCUUCACGGAUAAUACCUGUGAGGAUUGACGUUACCAACAGAAUAAGCACCGGCUAACUCCGUGCCAGCAGCCGCGGUAAUACGGAGGGUGCAAGCGUUAAUCGGAAUUACUGGGCGUAAAGCGCGCGUAGGCGGCCAUUUAAGCUAGAUGUGAAAGCCCAGGGCUUAACCUUGGAACUGCAUUUAGAACUGGAUGGCUAGAGUAUGGAAGAGGAGUGUGGAAUUUCAGGUGUAGCGGUGAAAUGCGUAGAGAUCUGAAGGAACAUCAGUGGCGAAGGCGACACUCUGGUCCAAUACUGACGCUGAGGUGCGAAAGCGUGGGGAUCAAACAGGAUUAGAUACCCUGGUAGUCCCACGCCGUAAACGAUGUCGACUAGCCGUUGGCCUCCUUGAGGGGUUAGUGGCGCAGCUAACGCGAUAAGUCGACCGCCUGGGGGAGUACGGCCCCCAAGGUUAAAACUCAAAUGAAUUGACGGGGGCCCCCCACAAGCGGUGGAGCAUGUGGUUUAAUUCGACCCAACCCCGAAAAAACCUUACCCUACUCUUGGACAUUCCAGAAAACCCCUUCAAAAAAUUUUA